AUUGGAGCUGUAGCCACCAGCCUACGCCACAGCCACAGCCACAGCCACACCGGAUCCAAGCUGCAUCUGCAAUCUACACCACAGCUUGCAGCAACGCGGGAUGCUUCACCCACUGAGUGAAGCCGGGGUGGAACCCGCAUCCUCAUUGACACUAUGUCAGGUUCUUAACCCACUGAGCCACAGCAGGAGCUCUUGUUCCUACUUCAUUGUACUGAUUUUUCCACCCAGUACCAGGGUGGAUGAGGAUGCUUUGUGCUGAUGAUCUUACUUUUCACUUGGCAUAAGUGUUAGGGAACUAAACUUGGCUCUGCUUGCCUGUGCGCAGUAAAGCCAAUCUACUGACCCAGGGCUGUGGUGAAGAAAAGUAGCGUUUUUCGCAGGCACCACAUAAGGAGCCCAGGCAACUAAUGUUCAAAGGGCCCCGAGCUUCCAGCUGGCUUUCAAGGAAAGGUUUUGAAAGACAGGGUGAGGGAGAGGGUUGUGGGUCUUGUGAUCAGACCAUGGACCUUCUUCUGAUUGGUUGAUGGUGACAUCAUUGGGUUCCAACCAGACUGGGCUCUGCCUACUUGUAGUCAGCAUACAGGUAACUCCUCCCACCUGGUGGAGGUUUCAGUCUCAGCCAAAUUGCUCAAGGAUAUAGCUCAGAAUAUUAUCUGCAGCCCUUGAGGAGGAACCAAAAGUCUCUGACUUUGUUGAAUAGCUAAACUAAUAUUAUUUUUUCUUGCCUGACAGUUUCUCUUGGUCUCUGCAUUUUUUCACUUCUCUAAGUUUAUUCCUUGAAACUCAGGGAAGGCCUAGAAGGUUAAAGUUUUUCUACAAACAAGAGGCAGCUGGAGGACAUGGGAGGGCGGGUCUGCCCUGGGAAAGGCCCCCACAGGGUCCUGCUUGGUUACAGCAGGGCAUGUGUCCUGCAAGAAGACAUGUGUCCUGCAAAGUUUCUGGCCCUGCUGAAGGAAGGUAUGCCUGCGUCAUGGAAUGUAGAUGACCCAACCUACUACCUAGAAGCCUGCUAUCUAGACCCAGCCUUCUACCUAGAAGAAAGUUUAACAGCAGUGAAAACGGAAGGUGGAGGGAAGAAGCCACCCUGUGACCCAUUGUUCCUCACACAGAGGACAGAAUAGAUGCUGCUGGUCCUAGUUCCUCUGGACUGUCUACCUUGCUUCUGAAGGAGAUCGCCUGUGAGGUGAGAGAGCAUCCGUGGGCUGCCAUCAGGCAUCCCACUAAAUCCCUUUCAGCCCUUUCUGUUCUCUAAAUUGACACAUUGUAAACAUUUCUCUAGCUGAGUGCUGAAGGAGGCAGCAAUGAGUACAAAGCCGGCAGCUCAGGUCACCCGGGGGCAUGCCAAUAGCUGUGCCUAAUGACAAUAUGGGAAAACCCAAUUAGGCUCCAGAAAGUUCCCUUGAGCAAUCCCUGAUGCGGUGUUGACUUUUGUGAGGCCUCAGCAGUGCAGAGCACCUGCAAAAGGGCUCAUUAGCUACAGGAAGUGGCUUUCGCUGUUCCACUGCACCUCCAGCUCAGAAACAUCAAACUCCUGGCAGGUAGAGCCUGUCAGCAGCUUAGGGAAUCUUUCCUUUGGUUUCAGUUUACUAAGUUUAGCAACCUCUUCAGUCACCUGUGAAGGAACCAAAAAUCCACAGUAAACUGCAGCCAAUUCACCCAUUAAUACUGGUUAUGACCAUGAACACUGCUUAUUGUUGUAGCAUUCCAAGCACCAGAAAGCCCUUUUGAGAAUUAGUAUCUCUGCUCAAAUAUAGGAUUUGUAUGUUCUCCCCACAGAGCUUACCCUUUUCCAUGUCCUAUUUCGCCACAUCAAAAAAUAACCUGUCACAUUUACUAUCACUAUUUAUUUUAGUUUGUUUGAUUUGCCCUGCAAAAACCUUUUAUGUUAUAUUUUUUCCUGGAUAUACACAAAUCUUCCUCAAUUUAUAGCCGGGUUAUGGCCUGAUAAAGCUAUUUUAAGUUGAAUAACCCAAGGGGAAAAUGCAAAGAAUAUACCUGAUCACCUAAGCCAUGGAGCAGCAUGGCAUCUCCUAAUAGAUACUUAAGCAUACUCAGAACACAUGAGCCUACAGUUGGGCAAAAUCAUCUAACACAAAGCCUAUUUUAUAAUAAGGUGUUGAAUAUCUCAUGUAAUUUGUUGAAUACUGAAAGUGAAAAACAGAAUGUUUGUGUGGGUCCAGAAUGAUUGUAAGUGUAUCAGUUGUUUGACUGGGAGCUGUGGCCACUGCCCAGUGUCAUGAGAGAACAUGGUACAACACAUUUCUAGCCUGGGAAAAGAUCCAAGUUCAAAAUACAAAGUAUGGUUUCUACUGAAGGCCUAUCGCUUUCACACCCUUGUCGAGCAGGAAAAUCAUUAAGUAGAAUCAUUUUAAGUUGGGGACCAUCUAUAAAUUAAUUCCACUCAUAGUAGAGUGACUUCGGAGAUGAAUACAAAGGGAAUUUUUAAUUACACAAGUCUCUCUUUCCUUCAUAUGAUUGGUCUUUACUGUGUACUAUAUGCCUACACUCUUCUAGAUCCUGGGGAUACAGCAGCCAAUAAGAGACAAAAACCCCUUCCCUUAUGGAAAGUGGAGACUUUCCUGAAUAAAUAAAAUAUAUAACAAUGCA
rnacentral:lncRNA from 1 species